rnacentral:rRNA from 1 species
AGCUCCAAUAGCGUAUAUUAAAGUUGUUGCAGUUAAAAAGCUCGUAGUUGGAUCUCGGGUCCAGGCUUGUGGUCCGCCGCAUGGCGGUUACUGCUCGUCCUGACCUACCUCCCGGUUUGCCCUUGGUGCUCUUGAUUGAGUGUCUCGGGUGGCCGGAACGUUUACUUUGAAAAAAUUAGAGUGUUCAAAGCAGGCAAUUCGCCUGAAUAAUGGUGCAUGGAAUAAUGGAAUAGGACCUCGGUUCUAUUUUGCUGGUUUUCGGAGCUUGAGGUAAUGAUUAAGAGGGACUGACGGGGGCAUUCGUAUUACGGUGUUAGAGGUGAAAUUCUUGGAUCGCCGUAAGACGAACUACUGCGAAAGCAUUUGCCAAGAAUGUUU